CAGUCGAACGGUAGCACAGGAGAGCUUGCUCUUUGGGUGACGAGUGGCGGACGGGUGAGUAAUGUCUGGGAAACUGCCCGAUGGAGGGGGAUAACUACUGGAAACGGUAGCUAAUACCGCAUAACGUCUACGGACCAAAGUGGGGGACCUUCGGGCCUCACACCAUCGGAUGUGCCCAGAUGGGAUUAGCUUGUUGGUGAGGUAAUGGCUCACCAAGGCGACGAUCCCUAGCUGGUCUGAGAGGAUGACCAGCCACACUGGAACUGAGACACGGUCCAGACUCCUACGGGAGGCAGCAGUGGGGAAUAUUGCACAAUGGGCGCAAGCCUGAUGCAGCCAUGCCGCGUGUAUGAAGAAGGCCUUCGGGUUGUAAAGUACUUUCAGCGGGGAGGAAGGGAGUGAGGUUAAUAACCUCGCUCAUUGACGUUACCCGCAGAAGAAGCACCGGCUAACUCCGUGCCAGCAGCCGCGGUAAUACGGAGGGUGCAAGCGUUAAUCGGAAUUACUGGGCGUAAAGCGCACGCAGGCGGUCUGUCAAGUCGGAUGUGAAAUCCCCGGGCUCAACCCGGGAACUGCAUUCGAAACUGGCAGGCUAGAGUCUUGUAGAGGGGGGUAGAAUUCCAGGUGUAGCGGUGAAAUGCGUAGAGAUCUGGAGGAAUACCGGUGGCGAAGGCGGCCCCCUGGACAAAGACUGACGCUCAGGUGCGAAAGCGUGGGGAGCAAACAGGA
rnacentral:rRNA from 1 species